rnacentral:rRNA from 1 species
ACGGGAGGCAGCAGUGGGGAAUAUUGGGCAAUGGGCGAAAGCCUGACCCAGCGACGCCGCGUGCAGGAAGAAGAUCUUCGGAUUGUAAACUGCUUUUAUCGGGGACGAAAAAAAUGACGGUACCUGAUGAAUAAGCCACGGCUAACUACGUGCCAGCAGCCGCGGUAAUACGUAGGUGGCGAGCGUUAUCCGGAUUUACUGGGUGUAAAGGGCGUGUAGGCGGAACUGUAAGUCAGAUGUGAAAUCCCGGGGCUCAACCCCGGAACUGCAUUUGAAACUGCAGUCCUUGAGUAUCGGAGAGGCAAGCGGAAUUCCUAGUGUAGCGGUGAAAUGCGUAGAUAUUAGGAGGAACACCAGUGGCGAAGGCGGCUUGCUGGACGACAACUGACGCUGAGGCGCGAAAGCGUGGGGAGCAAACAGGAUUAGAUACCCUGGUA